ensembl:snRNA U6 U6 spliceosomal RNA
GUGCUCACUUCAGCAGCACAUAUACUAAAAUUGGAAAGAUACAGAGAAGAUUAGCAUGGCCCCUGCACAAGGAUGACACGCCAAUUCAUGAAGGGUUCCAUAUCUUG